AAUCAACGCUGGCGGCGUGCCUCAGACAUGCAAGUCGAACGCGAAAGUUCCCUUCGGGGGAUAAGUAGAGUGGCGUCCGGGUGAGUAACACGUAGGUAAUCUACCUUUGGGUGGGGAAUAACAACCGGAAACGGUUGCUAAUACCGCAUAAUGCAGCGGCACCACAUGGUGACAGUUGUUAAAGCGGGGGAUCGCAAGACCUCGCGCCUAAAGAGGAGCCUGCGGCGGAUUAGCUAGUUGGAGGGUAACGGCCUACCAAGGCAACGAUCCGUAGCCGGCCUGAGAGGGCGGUCGGCCACACUGACACUGAAAUACGGGUCAGACUCCUACGGGAGGCAGCAGUCGGGAAUUUUGGGCAAUGAGCGAAAGCCUGACCCAGCAACGCCGCGUGAAGGAUGAAA
rnacentral:rRNA from 1 species